AGCAGCCGCGGUAAUUCCAGCUCCAAUAGCGUAUAUUAAAGUUGUUGCAGUUAAAAAGCUCGUAGUUGAAUUUCGGAAUCAAUAUAUCGGUCAUGCUUAGGUAUGUACUGGUAUUAUUGAUUUCUCCCUUCUGAAGAACCAUGAUGUCAUUAAUUUGGUGUCGUGGGGAAUCAGGACUGUUACUUUGAAAAAUUAGAGUGUUUAAAGCAGGCAUACGCUUGAAUACAUUAGCAUGGAAUAAUGAAAUAGGACGUUUGAUUCUAUUUUGUUGGUUUCUAGGAUCGACGUAAUGAUUAAUAGGGAUAGUUGGGGGCAUUAGUAUUCAAUUGUCAGAGGUGAAAUUCUUGGAUUUAUUGAAGACUAACUACUGCGAAAGCAUUUGCCAAGGAUGUUUUCAUUAAUCAAGAACGAAAGUUAGGGGAUCGAAGACGAUCAGAUACCGUCGUAGUCUUAACCAUAAACUAUGCCGACUAGGGACUCGGAUGAUAGUUUAAUUUUUAAUAGUACUACU
rnacentral:rRNA from 1 species